AUAAUGGGUCAGCGACUUAUAUUCUGUAGCAAGGUUAACCGAAUAGGGGAGCCGAAGGGAAACCGAGUCUUAACUGGGCGUUAAGUUGCAGGGUAUAGACCCGAAACCCGGUGAUCUAGCCAUGGGCAGGUUGAAGGUUGGGUAACACUAACUGGAGGACCGAACCGACUAAUGUUGAAAAAUUAGCGGAUGACUUGUGGCUGGGGGUGAAAGGCCAAUCAAACCGGGAGAUAGCUGGUUCUCCCCGAAAGCUAUUUAGGUAGCGCCUCGUGAAUUCAUCUCCGGGGGUAGAGCACUGUUUCGGCAAGGGGGUCAUCCCGACUUACCAACCCGAUGCAAACUGCGAAUACCGGAGAAUGUUAUCACGGGAGACACACGGCGGGUGCUAACGUCCGUCGUGAAGAGGGAAACAACCCAGACCGCCAGCUAAGGUCCCAAAGUCAUGGUUAAGUGGGAAACGAUGUGGGAAGGCCCAGACAGCCAGGAUGUUGGCUUAGAAGCAGCCAUCAUUUAAAGAAAGCGUAAUAGCUCACUGGUCGAGUCGGCCUGCGCGGAAGAUGUAACGGGGCUAAACCAUGCACCGAAGCUGCGGCAGCGACGCUUAUGCGUUGUUGGGUAGGGGAGCGUUCUGUAAGCCUGCGAAGGUGUGCUGUGAGGCAUGCUGGAGGUAUCAGAAGUGCGAAUGCUGACAUAAGUAACGAUAAAGCGGGUGAAAAGCCCGCUCGCCGGA
rnacentral:rRNA from 1 species